CUGGCUCAGAGCGAACGCUGGCGGCAGGCUUAACACAUGCAAGUCGAGCGGGCCCUUCGGGGUCAGCGGCGGACGGGUGAGUAACGCGUGGGAACGUGCCUUCUGGUUCGGAAUAACCCUGGGAAACUAGGGCUAAUACCGGAUACGCCCUUAUGGGGAAAGGUUUACUGCCGGAAGAUCGGCCCGCGUCUGAUUAGCUAGUUGGUGGGGUAACGGCCUACCAAGGCGACGAUCAGUAG
rnacentral:rRNA from 1 species